GCCAUUUAAAUAGAUCACUAUGUCUAUGAAUUAGCAGUUUGAAUGACUUAAAUAUUUAAUUAAACUAUUUAGUUAUAUAUUAUAUAAAUAUAGCGCAAAAUUCAGUGCGUAAUUAGUUUCAUGCACCAAAGACAAAUCGAAGGUUUCACCUUUCUAGAAGAGACACGUUUCAUUUAGCUGUGCCGUGGUGCAAGUGUAAAGUUUCUUGACUUUUCGCAUGCUUUGAAAAGAUCUAAACUGAAUGAGAGUUUUGAGAUGCAAUAGAACGACAAAUUACUUUUCAUACUAGACAAGAAAAGCGAAAUUUAUAGUAGCAGUGGUCCUGGCCAGGAAGAAAAAUCAUGACUUGUAUUUUCCCGAUAGUCCUUAAUGCCGCGUUUAUAACUACGACUACAGAUAUAGUUGGACAUCAUGCACGUAUGGUCUGUUAAUACAAACGUACGUUUGUUCUUAUUUCCCAGUAUAGUUGCGUUCAUGCACAUGCACAUAUAUGUCUGCAAAUUAAUACACUGAAACGGGCUAUAUAGCCUAUAUAGGUACAGUACUCUUUUUCGUCACAAGCCAUUCGCAUCAUAUUACGACCCAAUCGUUCUAGUAUAAAUAUCUCGGCGAGUAUUGACCCCCCUUUUAAAUAAAACCCACCAUUGAAAUCCUCACAAAAUAGGCAUGUUGUAAAAGACGGACUGGACUGGACUGGACCGGACUGGACUGGACUGGGAAAACGCGGACUGAGUCCGUGUUUUACAAAUCGCGGACUGAAUUUGUAAAACACGGACUGGACUGGACCGGGAAAACACGGACUGAGUCCGUGUUUUACAAAUCGCGAACUAAGAUUUGUAAAACGCGGACUGAGUCCGUGUUUUACAAAUCGCGGGUUGCAAUUUGUAAAAGGCGGAC